GAGUUUGAUCGUGGCUCAGGAUGAACGCUGGCGGCGUGCUUAACACAUGCAAGUCGAACGAAGCAUUUAGGAUUGAAGUUUUCGGAUGGAUUUCCUAUAUGACUGAGUGGCGGACGGGUGAGUAACGCGUGGGGAACCUGCCCUAUACAGGGGGAUAACAGCUGGAAACGGCUGCUAAUACCGCAUAAGCGCACAGAGCUGCAUGGCUCGGUGUGAAAACUCCGGUGGUAUGGGAUGGGCCCCGCGUCUGAUUAGGCAGUUGGCGGGUAACGGCCCACCAAACCGACGAUCAGUAGCCGGCCUGAGAGGGCGACCGGCCACAUUGGGACUGAGACACGGCCCAAACUCCUACGGGAGGCAGCAGUGGGGAAUA
rnacentral:rRNA from 1 species